UUGAAAUUAUAGGCGAAGGUUGUAGCUGGCCUCUCGGGGCAUGUGCACGCCCGAGCCCUUUAAUCCACACACACCUGUGAACCUAUUGUAAGGGCCCCCUGAAAAGGGCCUUUAUGUCUUAUUCAUCAACCCAUUGCAUGUCUCAGAAUGUAAACAUAUGUCCUCGCCUUAAAAAGCGUUGGUAAACUUAUA
rnacentral:misc_RNA from 1 species